rnacentral:rRNA from 1 species
UGAGCCAAGUUUAGGGUUUUCUCAAAACCCAAGCAGUAUUGAACUGAAGAGUUUGAUCAUGGCUCAGAUUGAACGCUGGCGGCAGGCCUAACACAUGCAAGUCGAGCGGAUGAA